rnacentral:lncRNA from 1 species
UCUCUGGACAGACGGUGGUACGUGAGGAACCUGGAAGACCCUGUGAAGAGCCUUGUAGAUUGAGGUAUAGAAAUGAUGAGAGACCCAGAUCCCAGGGCCCUCCAGCUGGCCACAGUUGGAACCAGAGGCCUGGCACUGGGCUGUGUCGGAGGUUGACUCCUGUUUCCCCGCUUGUCCAGCACUUAGAAAGGCUUGGCAGAUGGGCAGCUGAAACCGCAUCUGGGGACAUGACUAACAAGACUGGCUCAGGGUUCCGUGUCAUUUGAGGACAUUGCUGUGGACUUCUCCUGGGACGAAUGGCAGCAUCUGGAUGUGGCUCAGAGGACUCUCUACAGGGACGUGAUGCUGGAGAACUACAGCAGUCUCCUGUUCUU